rnacentral:lncRNA from 1 species
UUGUCCAAACUCUAAAUGUGGACUUCACUGAGAACUACCUAGGGACGCAGACUUCAGACCCAUGUCACACAUUUAGAGUGCUGCCUCCCACAAAAUCAUGGAAUGAUCUUGACUGAAUUCUGUGUCUGUUGAGGACACAUGCCAGUUACACUAGUGUUCCCUUACUUCGAGAUUAAAAGGCAAGAAUUUUAGUUUUUUAUGAUUCCUAGUAAGGAUUUUUUUAAAAUUGUACUUGAGAAUUGAAAGCUUAAGGUCAUAGUAAGCACAUGCAUCUGUCUAUAUGUAAUGUCUGUGUGUUUUAAUACAUAUGUUUAGUUUCUUACCAGACUUUCCAGGAAUCAGUUCAGUGUCAUGUAGGUCUGUAGUUAACCAUCCUGGAACAAUGCACAGCAUAAAAUGGUGCCAUGCGUCUUGUUUCAUUGGAACUAAGUGUUGAUUGAUUUUGUUAAUUGGAGGGGGCAGCUGUUUAUAUUUUUCCUUUAUUAUUAAACGGAAAACUCUUUGGAAAUGUUUUUCUUAAGAGUAGGAAACGCAUCAUAUUUUG